AAGGAUCAUUAUUGAAAUAAACCUGAUGGGUUGUUGCUGGUUCUCUAGGGAGCAUGUGCACGCCUUGUCAUCUUUAUAUCUCCACCUGUGCACUUUUUGUAGACCCUUCCAGGUCUAUGUUGCUUCAUAAUCCCCGAUGUAUGUUAAUAGAAUGUUGUGCCUAUAUAAUAUAUACAACUUUCAGCAACGGAUCUCUUGGCUCUCGCAUCGAUGAAGAACGCAGCGAAAUGCGAUAAGUAAUGUGAAUUGCAGAAUUCAGUGAAUCAUCGAAUCUUUGAACGCACCUUGCGCUCCUUGGUAUUCCGAGGAGCAUGCCUGUUUGAGUGUCAUUAAUAUAUAUAUCAACCCUCUCUUGUGGAGUGGUUUGGAUGUGGGGGGUUUGCUGGCCUCUUAAAUGAAUUCAGCUCCCCUGAAAUGCAUUAGCAGAACAAACCUUGUUCAUUGGCAUGAUAACUAUCUAUGCUAUUGAAUGUGAGGGGCAGUUCAGCUUUCUAACCGUCCUUGGACAAUUCAUCAUUAAUGUGACCUCAAAUCAGGUAGGACUACCCGCUGAACUUAAGCAUAUCAAUAAGCGGAGGAAAAGAAACUAACAAGGAUUCCCCUAGUAACUGCGAGUGAAGCGGGAAAAGCUCAAAUUUAAAA
rnacentral:rRNA from 1 species